UACGUAGGGCGCGAGCGUUAAUCGGAAUUACUGGGCGUAAAGCGUGCGCAGGCGGUUUUGUAAGCCAGAUGUGAAAUCCCCGGGCUCAACCUGGGAAUGGCAUUUGGGACUGCAAGGCUGGAGUGCGGCAGAGGAGACUGGAAUUCCUGGUGUAGCAGUGAAAUGCGUAGAUAUCAGGAGGAAUACCGAUGGCGAAGGCAGGUCUCUGGGCUGACACUGACGCUCAUGCACGAAAGCGUGGGGAGCAAACAGG
rnacentral:rRNA from 1 species